AGAGGUACAGCACAGACGCACAGAGUCUGUGUGCUCGUCUGCCGGGUGGAGCUGUCUGUCCCUCUGGUUCACGGGCACGCUGUGUGCAGAAGGGAACGGUGACACUGUGAGUGACCACUGUGCUUGCUGAGCCCUGCGUGCUCGCUGGACACCACGGCUUACCUGAGUUCUUUGCAGAUCCUCUCACUGCUGCUCAGCACUCCUGACCUGUGGUGCAGAGGAACCCACCUGUGUCCUCUACCUAAGAAAGAAGUGGUAUUGAUCUGACUGCCCAUUGGAAGCAAACAGUAACAUGAACAGCAACCCACGUAUGAGGAAGUUGAACAGUUGCUGUGAUUCUGGCUGAAGCUGCUGGCCCCCGCAUGAUGUGACUGCCACCUCCAACAAGACAGUGUGGGGGAUCAGCUACAUUUGGUGAGUUAAGGCUGUAAACAAACAGCACCUUCCACCCUCAAGAUGGUUCCUGGUGUCCACGUGGAUUGCUGCAGCACAGAAACCUUUGCCAAGGCAGAAAAUCCACUGAAAGUACAGCCAUGACAUGAGAGGGAGUUUUGGACUUGCACAUUUGAGCAAAACCUUGGAUGCAUAAACACUGUUCUACUGAUCAGAGGGAAAAAAGAAGCUUCAAAACCUCUUCUCUGAAGCAGCUAGAACACAACUUAUCUCUUGCCCCUGUGGCCCUGCCCUGGAAAGUCUGCCACCCUCUGAACUGUACAGUGAAAUGCUCAGAAACUGGAACCAGGUUUGGUCAAUGCUUCUGCUUAUUUAAGAGCUCUGUCAUCAAGACAAGAACUUUCUUUUCAAAUCAACUCAGAGAAAAAAAAAACUACACAAGAGGAACAGGAAAGAUAACCUCUCAGCUCACACAACACAAAGCUGAUUGUAGUGUCAGUGGAGACAGACAAUAUUUUUAAUCUAAUUCUCACAAGUGAGUCUGAGUUUAGUGAACCUGGGAUCUGUUUCCACUCUCUCAGGUGGAGCAAAUCAAAAGCAGUUUCUUAGCAAAUCCUGAAUACACUGGGCUCUCCAUCUUAUUGGAGUAGGCAAGACUGAUUGGCCCCAGCUAUAUAACUAUCACCAAACCUGCUUCAGGAGUUCCAGUGUGAGCAGAUGGGUCCCUUCAAAAACACCCAUCUCUCUGCACUGCUCACUGCUUUCACAGGCAUGGACUGCGUGGGUGUAAGCGGUGCUCAGGCUGGGCUGGCUGGAUCCUGUCCCAUCUUCUAAGCAGCUUUCCUGUAUCUAAGGAUGGAAAAAAUCUUUCCCCAUUUCCAGUCCUUCUGCCUGAGAUUGUAAAUGUGAGUCCUUUUCCCAGUGAAGAAGUUUGACAGGUUAGCAAUGGCAGGUUGUUAAUACUUAGAUGACUUCAAGUACAAUAUCAGAUUUGUUGUCUGGCUUGGGGUUUGUCUAGACAAGUUGUUUUAUUAGAUAGCAGAUGGUUUGGAAAUUGUUUGCAGUGACUGGGCCGAGUAGAAUUGGAAUUCUCUGUUCCCAGAUCAGAAGGAAUGGGGUUGGGAAAAUGGAGAGCAAAACUCCCACGUUUCCCAUUCAAAUUGAAAAAUGGAUAUAUAGAUUUAGAUAUAGGUGUGUGUGUGUUUGCAUAUUAUUGAGGGAAAUUAGGUUCACUCUGUUUAUGGUGGAUCCUUAAGGAACUGAUAAAUCACAGGACGAAUUUCCUUGGUACACCCUUAGUGCCAAUAUUGGCAUAUGAAUUUACAAUCUUUGAGAAUUCUUCACUUUGACUCAUUCUUCGCCUUUCUCCUUUGCCCUUCUCUGUCGUUCUGAGUCCCCAUUCCAGCCCCUCUUCCCAUCUGUCUCUGCCCAUUUCCUUUGGCCUUCAUUCUCCUCUGCCCUUCUUUUUGUUCUCCCUCCUCUCUCUGCCUCCCUCCUGUCUCUGCCCUUCUUCAGCCUUCUCUGACCUUCUCUUUUUUCCUGAUCCUUUGUCCUUCUUCCUCCUUCAUCUCCACUCCUCUUCUCUGCUAUUCUUUUCCAUCUGCCCAGCUCUCUCUGACCUUCUCUGACAUUCUUUGAACUUCUCUGCCUUCACUUCUGUUGUUUUCUCUGCCCUUCUUUAACCUCUGCCCAUCUCCACCCUUUCUGCUUUUCUGCCAUUCUUCUCCUCCUUUUUCACUCUUCUUUGCCAAUCUUUUGGCCUUUGCUCUUCUCUGCAGCACUCACCCCAGCUUUGCCCUGUUCUGCCCUUUUUUGACAUUCUUUGAUUUAAUGGCACUUCUUUCUCCCCUUUCCACACCUUUUGGCCCCUUUGGUCACUCCUGUCCAUCUCUACACACUCCUCUCAUCCCUUUUUUGUCUUUCUCUGUCCUUCUUCACCUCCUCUAGCCUGCUCUCCCCUGUGUUAUAAAACCAUAACUAUAUGUCAUACCCCCAACUCCCUUUCCCUCCUUUUCUGCCAUCUUCUCUGCGGUUCCCCACCUUCCUGUGCCCCUCUCCACCCCUUUCUUCCCCUUUUCACCUGCCUGUGUCAUCAGGAUAUCUGGAGUUAACACUGUUAAUUUAUUUAGUGCUAUUCCCCAGGAUUAAUAAAUGUAUUUUUUUCUGUAUACUUGAAGCUAACGCUUGAUGAUAGCUGCACAUCACCAUAGAAACCAGGACAGGUUCUUCUGUAAGUCAAAGGUUAAUUUAUAAUUAUUUUUAAAAUUAUCUUGCUCAGAUGCAUCAAUGUAGACAGGACUUGUCCAAAACAUUCUUCCUUACCAAAUAAUCUAUCUUUCUAUUCCAGCUCUUCCAAAAAUACAUUAACAUGGCUCCUAUUUGCUUAAGGCAGAGUCUCCAUAAGGUGUUAUACAAGAAAACUGUCUGGUUCUGAGUGUUUGUAGCUAUGUUUGCAAUUGACAGAGCUACUGACAGCCCCAGCUCUCUGUGGGAUGGCUGUGGACCAGAGCACAGAUGACUCACUGUGUAUGAUGUUGUUUCACACCAAAGUGUUUGCUCUGUGUACUGAACAUGUGUGCGAGUCAAUAGCAAAAAGUUUGAGAACAAACACAGCUUAGAUGGAAAUAAAUUCAAAUUGACUGAAAUCAUUAUUCCCAAGUCAGAAACAAUAAUAUAAAUGUCUUUUUAAAGGAGAAGUUUUACUUGGCAUGGUUCUUGUGCCUUCUACCAAUGAUUGAGGGUCAGGCAGUGUGAAAAGGAGGCCUUGGCAUUUCCUUGCAGCAAAAGUCUUUUCAUUCCAGAGAUGGGCAGAAGAGAGUUUGGGUCACUGCUCAGAUUUCUCCCAUGCAGCAGCAAUGCCCAAUCAUUGGGUGCUAUUUUUCCCUUGGUAACAAAACUGUUUUUCUCCCCCAGCUGCCUUUUCAGAGUUCAGCAGAUAUCUGAAAAACUGGUUUUGUAUUGGGAGCUAUUUACUUGCCUUGUUGCCAAUUAACUCUCCCUAAAGCCGUUGCACAUCUAUAAGGUGCAGUUAAUAAAGUCCUUUUGAUGCGUUAAUGUCCUCCUAGGAGCAGCCUCAGUCUCAGGCUGGCUCAGUCACAUGGAGGUGUCCCCUCAGCUGCCUCCUCUCUCCCCAGCUGAGCUAAUACGGAUCUCUGAGAACAGCACAUUAUCUCAGUCCCUCAGAAUGCUUGACUGUACCUCUGGGCCACAUCUUCUUUUAUUAAAAAAACCCUCUACAAUGUAUGUUGGAAGAUUUCCCAUCUGCAGGACACUAUACACAUAUAAAGGCAAUCUCUUACUGUAGUGUCCCCAAUAUGAAGUUGUGGAAAAGGGCACAGAAAUAAUCCUGUAAUCUGGUUGGCAGAUAACAAAUUGCUUUUGUGCUAGUGUAGGAGAUUAAACUGUGUAAUUUACUUAUAAAAUCAGGUUUCUCAUGGAGUAUGGGUAUAAAUCCACAAAGACUUCCAGAAUCUUUACUGGGCUUUGAAUGGUGUCCAUAAGAACUUCUUGUGGGUGACAGCCUGGUUCAGAGAGUGCUGUCUCAUGGGGAUCACUAGGAUGAGUCACCCUUACUUAUGUGGAGACAUCUCUAUGUGGUAAUGUGCUCAGGGAAGUGGGGAGCAAAGGAAAUCCUCUCAGUCAUUCCCCAAAGUCUCUGGCAAUGUCCCUUCUGCAAAGUGUUUCCACACCCUAGACCUGCUCUUGCAGCCUGUGUGUUUCUGGAGCGCCGUAGCCAAUGAAUUCAAGUUCACACCCUCACACCCUCCCGAGACAUGGCUGAGCUUUGUCAGCUGCGAGGCUCCAGAUGUGGCCAGGCUGGGACAGACAGGGAAUUCCCAUUUUCUUAUGCUACAGACAAGCCACAAGGCUGCAGUACCAUCCCUUUCUUUUCUGUGCUUGCAGAGGCUGAGCUGCAGUAAUGUCAGCUCCACUGCAGGCAAGGAACCACCUCCUGGGACCAGCCUGAGGGACAAAUCCAACCUUGAAAAACAGCCAGCAGGAUGACAUGCAGAUCAAAGGGGUAUUGCAGAGCUCAGCUGCAAGGGAUCCCUUAGAGAGUUUUUAAGGCAUUUUAGCUCACCCUUAACUUCCUUCAAAUGGAGCACAGGUUCUCUCUGGAAGAAAAAUAAGAGCAGAGUUUGGUACAUGCCCUGAAAUGCACAGGCAGCCAAGGAGUAUUGCCAUUUUCUGUACCUGUUUGCUCAGUGACUGUGUUGUUUGCAAGAGGUUUAUUAUUCCCGUUGUACCUUUAGGAAAAUUACUGCACAAAUCUCUGAGGCUUGAAAAACUCUGUUUUGGUGAUAUUUAAACGUUUUAACUGUCAUCACAAAAAUUUUAAAUGUGGUGUGUGUGUGUGUGUAUCCAAUGUCCCACAAAGUGUGGGCAAUGUGUAUGGGUGUAAAAGAAUUUUCCCAAGAGCAAGAGGUAGAGCAGUUAUUUCAGUAUUUCAUGUGCCUUGGUAAAUUUCUUUUUAAUGAGAGAAAGAGGUGGGGGUUUUGUUUUGUUCUCUUUUUUUCCCAGUUUCCAUGCUCUGGUUUGAUUUGUCAGGCCAUCAAUGGACAUAAACAGUGUAAGUGCAUGAGAGUAUCUGCAUGCCAGUGCAGGUUUCAAAAAGUGUACAAGCUACAGUGAGCCAUCCUAUUUUGCAGUUAAAUUCCAUGUCUCUGAUGGAUUUCCCCCCACUGUUGCUAGGAGAUGAAGGUAAUGCCUAACAAAGGAUAUAUUGACAAAAAAUUUUCCAGAACAAAUCUAUCUUGUUAUGGUAAAUAGAGACUCACAUAAAAUGGAUAUUGCCGGAUUUAUUUCCUUAGUGGUGACACUGGCAAAAUUGCAUACAUCAAGUGAAGGUGAAAUUUCCCCAUCACAAAUGCAGUUUUGUUUUGUUGACAUAAAGACUUUCAGUGCGUUUAAUGCCGAAAGCGCUGCUGCCUUCCAGUGUGUUUUGUUGCUAGGCUAAUAGGAUGAACACAUCCUACAUCAGCGAUUUUCCUUCUUCCCUUCUCUGCUACUUCUCCCUUUCAGGAAGAAAUGUGGCUUAUCAAACUGGUUCCCCUCUUUUCAUUACUCUUCUGGGAAACGCAGAUUCCUUCUUUUGAAGCGGGGAAAAUGCGUGCAUGACUUGGGACAUGUUGCGAUUUGGCAAAGAAGCAGCUAAAUGCAAUGGAAAAGCAGAUCAGUCUUUUGCUUUAUAGCUACAGGCACAUCUGCAUUAAAACAAAACAAAACACAAAGUUAAAUGGAAAUCUAAUAAAGACAGGAACUUCAGGAAUUCUCAUGGAAAGAUUAAAUUUCUAGAGAAUGACAAAUUUUCUCCCUUUAUUCUGGUGACAUAAUGAACGCACAAAUAGAUUUGAACAGCAAAAGCCAAUGUGACUUGAGCCAUAUAAAAUAAAAAUUUUGCUGGAGAAAAAGUUUAGUUCUGGUGUGGCAUUUAUAUUUUCCCGUCCACUGCUAUGCCAGCAGUUCCUAUGCCACCACAGGAGUCUCUGGCUCUGAACACAUGCAAGUAAACAACUUGCUGUCCAGAAAGAUGAGGUCAAGACUGAAAAGUAGAUUGCCUCUUUCAGGGUAGGAAAGGAGUCAGGGAGAAACACAUUCCCCUUCAUUCUCCUAUAUGCAUCAUUGCACAGAGAGAGCUGAGAAUUUGAACUUUUUUGAGUUGAAGCUACUGUGUCCCUGACUCCACAACUGUGCAAAUACUGGGCUGGUUUCAUCUUGGGUGUGAAUCUGCUCCCACAGGCAUGGCCAUCUGCACAGACCAGUGGCAGGUGUGGUCCCCUCCUCCUCUGCUCACAAAUGAAUGGUGUGGAA